AGGCAGUUAGUCUAACUAAGACACCUAAUUUCGGCUUAGGAGACCCGAAUGAAACCCUCGGACCGCUAU
rnacentral:tRNA from 1 species